rnacentral:rRNA from 1 species
GCAGCCGCGGUAAUUCCAGCUCCAAUAGCGUAUACUAAAGUUGUUGCGGUUAAAAAGCUCGUAGUUGGAUCUUGGAAUGUGUUCAAGCGGGUCAGCUUCUGGCUGUGCGCUGCUUGACGUGUUCUUCUAUUUGGUUUUGGUGCGGUGCGCUUAACUGCGUGUCGCUCCCGGCCGAAACGUUUACCUUGAAAAAAUUAGAGUGUUCAAAGCAGACCUGUUUGAGUCUGAAUAUUCGUGCAUGGAAUAAUGAAAUAUGAAUUCGGUUCUAUUUUGUUGGUUUUCGGAACUCGAGUUAAUGAUCAAGAGGGACAGACGGGGGCAUUCGUACUCUGCCGUUAGAGGUGAAAUUCUUGGAUCGGCGGAAGACGCGCAACUGCGAAAGCAUUUGCCAAGAAUGUUUUCUUUAAUCAAGAACGAUAGUCGGAGGUUCGAAGACGAUCAGAUACCGUCCUAGUUUCGACUGUAAACUAUGCCAGCUAACGAUCAGACAGAGUUCUCUACGACUUGUCUGGCAGUUUCCGGGAAACCAAAGCGUUUGGGUUCCGGGGGAAGUAUGGUUGCAAAGCUGAAACUUAAAGGAAUUGACGGAAGGGCACCACCAGGAGUGGAGCCUGCGGCUUAAUUUGACUCAACACGGGGAAACUCACCCGGCCCGGACACAGUGAGGAUUGACAGAUUGAGAGUUCUUUCUUGAUUCUGUGGGUGGUGGUGCAUGGCCGUUCUUAGUUGGUGGAGCGAUUUGUCUGGUUAAUUCCGAUAACGAACGAGACUCUGGCAUGUUAAAUAGUCGCGGAAGUGCGUAUGCACUUGCCGAAUUGACUUCUUAGAGGGACUAGUGAUUUUAAUUCACACGAGAUUGAGCAAUAACAGGUCUGUGAUGCCCAAGGCGAAUCGUUAAGCUGGCAGACU